GCAGGCGAGGGGCAGCAAUGUCACUGUCGUACGGGUGCGUAACGCGUAUGCAACCUACCUAUCACUGGGGGAUAGCCCGGGGAAACCCGGAUUAAUACCGCAUAAAACAGGGGCACCGCAUGGUGAUAUUUGUUAAAGAUUUAUUGGUGAUAGAUGGGCAUGCGUUCGAUUAGCUAGUUGGCGGGGUAACGGCCCACCAAGGCGACGAUCGAUAGGGGAGCUGAGAGGUUGAUCCCCCACACGGGCACUGAGAUACGGGCCCGACUCCUACGGGAGGCAGCAGUAGGGAAUAUUGGGCAAUGGAUGCAAGUCUGACCCAGCCAUGCCGCGUGCCGGAUGAAGGCCCUCAGGGUUGUAAACGGCUUUUAUUCGGGAAGAAGAGCAGGGAUGCGUCCUUGUGUGACGGUACCGAAUGAAUAAGCACCGGCUAACUCCGUGCCAGCAGCCGCGGUAAUACGGAGGGUGCGAGCGUUGUCCGGAUUUAUUGGGUUUAAAGGGUGCGUAGGUGGCCUUAUAAGUCAGUGGUGAAAUACGGUUGCUCAACAAUCGAGGUGCCAUUGAUACUGAGAGGCUUGAAAUAAUUGGAGGCUGCCGGAAUGGAUGGUGUAGCGGUGAAAUGCAUAGAUAUCAUCCAGAACACCGAUUGCGAAGGCAGGUGGCUACGAUUGGUUUGACACUGAGGCACGAAAGCAUGGGGAGCAAACAGGAUUAGAUACCCUGGUAGUCCAUGCUGUAAACGAUGAGGACUCGUUGUUUGGCUGCAAGGCUGAGCGACUUAGGGAAACCGUUAAGUCCUCCACCUGGGGAGUACGCCGGCAACGGUGAAACUCAAAGGAAUUGACGGGGGUCCGCACAAGCGGUGGAGCAUGUGGGUUAAUUCGAUGAUACGCGAGGAACCUUACCUGGGCUAAAUCAAAGAGGAAUGAUGCAGAAAUGUGUCAGCUAGCAAUAGUCUCUUUGAAGGUGCUGCAUGGCUGUCGUCAGCUCGUGUCGUGGAGAUGUUGGGUUUAGUCCCGCAACGAGCGCAACCCUAUGGGUUAGUGCCAGCACGUAA
rnacentral:rRNA from 1 species